rnacentral:tRNA from 1 species
UUUAAAUUCUAAAGAUUUAUAGAAAGAUUAUAAUUUUAUAAUUAAAUUAAGAUUGAUGAAGAUUCAAAGUAU